GGAAUAAAAGACAUUGCAUUUCAGAGCUUAGUAAAAUGAACAUUUCCAUGGACUGAGAGAAACCUAAGCUUUGCAUUCAGUAAACAUUUGAACACAGAGAAAUCAAUGAAAUAUUCUGACAACAAAAUCAGUGCCCACCGAAACCUGUGAUUAAUUCUGUAAGCUGCAUGACCAAGGAACUAAGACCUAACCUUGAGUGUAGGGAUAAGAUUGCCUUCUUUGAUCAUCGGCCGGUUUUCACAGGCAGACUUCAUAAUCCUGCAAAUGCCACUGUGGUUCUAUCAAGUCUCGGUGUUAAAGAUUAA